ensembl:snRNA U6 U6 spliceosomal RNA
GUGUUCACUUUGGCAGCACAUACACCAAAAUUGGAACGAUGCAGAAAAGAUUAGCAUAACCCCUAAGGAAAGAUUACAUUCAAAUUUGCGACGCGUUUCACAUUUUU